rnacentral:rRNA from 1 species
AACCAACAGGGAUUGCCUCAGUAACGGCGAGUGAAGCGGCAAAAGCUCAAAUUUUAAAGCUGACAUCUUCGGUGUCCGCGUUGUAAUUUUGUGAGGCAUCUCCGGGUAGGGCGCUGGCCUAAGUUCCUUGGAACAGGACGUCACAGAGGGUGAGAAUCCCGUGCUUGGCUGGCUGUCCCCGUCCAUGUGAGGUGUCUUCGACGAGUCGAGUUGUUUGGGAAUGCAGCUCAAAAUGGGUGGUAAAUUUCAUCUAAAGCUAAAUAUUGGUGGGAGACCGAUAGCGCACAAGUAGAGUGAUCGAAAGAUGAAAAGCACUUUGAAAAUAGAGUUAAAAAGUACGUGAAAUUGUUGAAAGGGAAGCGCUUGAGACCAGACUUCGGUAAGGGGUGAUCAGCCGUCCUUUUGGGCGGUGCACUUGCCCCCCUCCGGGCCAGCAUCGAUUGAGGCGGCGGGAUAAAGGUCCCGGGAAUGUGGCUCCUUCACGGGAGUGUUAUAGCCCGGGUGAAUGCCGCCAGCUUCGACCGAGGACCGCACCCGCAAGGGUUAGGAUGCUUGGCAUAAUGGUCUUCAGCGA